rnacentral:rRNA from 1 species
GGGUUGUGAGGUUAAGCGACUAAGCGUACACGGUGGAUGCCCUGGCAGUCAGAGGCGAUGAAGGACGUGCUAAUCUGCGAAAAGCGUCGGUAAGGUGAUAUGAACCGUUACAGCCGGCGAUGUCCGAAUGGGGAAACCCAGUGCAAUUCGUUGCACUAUCGUUAACUGAAUACAUAGGUUAACGAGGCGAACCGGGGGAACUGAAACAUCUAAGUACCCCGAGGAAAAGAAAUCAACCGAGAUUCCCCCAGUAGCGGCGAGCGAACGGGGAGCA